rnacentral:tRNA from 1 species
AAGGUCAGUGAACUUAAUCAGACACGUAUAAAUUUGAACUAUGAAAAGGAAACAACUAUUCCACCUUCAACCAU